rnacentral:rRNA from 1 species
AGCGAACGCUGGCGGCAGGCCUAACACAUGCAAGUCGAACGAAGUCUUCGGACUUAGUGGCGGACGGGUGAGUAACACGUGGGAACGUGCCUUUAGGUUCGGAAUAACUCAGGGAAACUUGUGCUUAUCCCGAAUGUGCCCUUCGGGGGAAAGAUUUAUCGCCUUUAGAGCGGCCCGCGUCUGAUUAGCUCGUUGGUGAGGUAAAGGCUCACCAAGGCUACGAUCAGUAGCUGGUCUGAGUGGAUGACCAGCCACAUUGGGACUGGGACACUGCCCAAACUCCUCCGGGAGGCAGCAGUGGGGAAUCUUGCGCAAUUGGCUAAAGCCUGACGCAGCCAUGCCGCGUGGAUGAUGAAGGUCUUAGUAUUGUAAAAUCCUUUCACCGGUGAAGAUAAUGACUGUAGCCGGUGAAGAAGCCCCGGCUAACUUCGUGCCAGCCGCCGCGGUAACAC